rnacentral:rRNA from 1 species
GAGGAUCCAAGCGUUAUCCGGAUUUAUUGGGUUUAAAGGGUGCGCAGGCGGAUAGGUAAGUCAGCGGUGAAAUUUCCCGGCUCAACCGGGAGACUGCCAUUGAUACUGCUUGUCUAGAUUGUAGAUGGCGUAGGCGGAAUAUGUCAAGUAGCGGUGAAAUGCGUAGAUAUGACAUAGAACACCGAUCGGGAAGCCAGCUUACGAAACUACGAAUGACGCUCAUGCACGAAAGCGUGGGGAUCAAA